GAAGGUGCACAUUGCCUCGAUACCUAUGGAUGCCUCCAUAUGCAAAUUGCACCUUAUAAAGGAUAUUUAUUUUUAAUACAAGGAGGUCAUGGAUAGAGCAAGAUGGUGGACUAAGAUUCAUGUAGUCGGUCUCAAAUGGUUGAAAAAAAAGGUAUGAUGAUGAUAAUAAUAAGAAGUUCAUAAUCACUUUUAUUGUUAGAUAUUGAAUUGAACGACUGUAAACAUGUCAUUGACUAGACUUA
rnacentral:lncRNA from 1 species